ACGCUGGCAGCAUGGAUUAGGCAUGCAAGUCGAACGAGAAUCCGGGCUUCGGCCCGGAGGAGAGUGGCGCAAGGGUGAGUAACACGUGAGUAAUCUGCCCCGAAGUCUGGGAUAGCCCAUGGAAACGUGGAUUAAUACCGGAUGUGGCUGUAUGAACUGCGGUUCUAACAGUUAAAGAUUCAUCGCUUCGGGAUGAGCUCGCGGUCCAUCAGCUUGUUGGUGAGGUAACGGCUCACCAAGGCGACGACGGAUAGCUGGUCUGAGAGGAUGACCAGUCACACUGGGACUGAGACACUGCCCAGACUCCUACGGGAGGCUGCAGUCGAGAAUCUUCCGCAAUGGGCGCAAGCCUGACGGAGCGAUGCUGCGUGCCGGACGAAGGCCUUCGGGUCGUAAACGGCUGUCACUCGGGACGAAUUUUGACGGUACCGAGAGAGGAAGCCACGGCUAACUACGUGCCAGCAGCCGCGGUAAUACGUAGGUGGCGAGCGUUAUUCGGAAUUAUUGGGCCUAGAGGGUUCGUAGGGGGUAAUGUAAGUCCGGUGUGAAAUCUCGAGGCUCAACCUCGAAACUGCAUUGGAAACUGCAUUACUUGAGUGUCAGAGAGGAAAGCGGAAUUCCUGGUGUAGCGGUGGAAUGCGUAGAUAUCAGGAAGAACACCGACGGCGAAGGCAGCUUUCUGGCUGGCAACUGACCCUGAUGAACGAAAGCUAGGGUAGCGAACAGGAUUAGAUACCCUGGUAGUCCUAGCUGUAAACGUUGUGCACUGGAUGUGGGCGGAUUUGGUCCCGUCUGUGUCUGAGCGAAGGCGUUAAGUGCACCGCCUGGGGACUACGGCCGCAAGGCUAAACUUCAAAGGAAUUGACGGGGGCCCGCACAAGCGGUGGAGCAUGUGGCUCAAUUCGAGGCAACGCGAAGAACCUUACCUGGGUUUGACAUAUACCUGACCGCCGGUGAGAGCCGGUUUCUCUUUGAGCAGGUAUACAGGUGCUGCAUGGCUGUCGACAGCUCGUGCUGUGAAGUGUUCGGUUAAGUCCGGCAACGAGCGCAACCCACGCUGUUAGUUACCAUCAGGUAAUGCUGGGGACUCUAACAGGACUGCCCGUGCUAAGCGGGAGGGAAGGCGUGGACGACGUCA
rnacentral:rRNA from 1 species